GAUGAACCACUUCGGUGGGGAUUAGUGGCGAACGGGUGAGUAACACGUGGGCAAUCUGCCCUUCACUCUGGGACAAGCCCUGGAAACGGGGUCUAAUACCGGAUACGACACUCUCGGGCAUCCGAUGAGUGUGGAAAGCUCCGGCGGUGAAGGAUGAGCCCGCGGCCUAUCAGCUUGUUGGUGAGGUAACGGCUCACCAAGGCGACGACGGGUAGCCGGCCUGAGAGGGCGACCGGCCACACUGGGACUGAGACACGGCCCAGACUCCUACGGGAGGCAGCAGUGGGGAAUAUUGCACAAUGGGCGAAAGCCUGAUGCAGCGACGCCGCGUGAGGGAUGACGGCCUUCGGGUUGUAAACCUCUUUCAGCAGGGAAGAAGCGAAAGUGACGGUACCUGCAGAAGAAGCGCCGGCUAACUACGUGCCAGCAGCCGCGGUAAUACGUAGGGCGCGAGCGUUGUCCGGAAUUAUUGGGCGUAAAGAGCUCGUAGGCGGUCUGUCGCGUCGGAUGUGAAAGCCCGGGGCUUAACCCCGGGUCUGCAUUCGAUACGGGCAGACUAGAGUGUGGUAGGGGAGAUCGGAAUUCCUGGUGUAGCGGUGAAAUGCGCAGAUAUCAGGAGGAACACCGGUGGCGAAGGCGGAUCUCUGGGCCAUUACUGACGCUGAGGAGCGAAAGCGUGGGGAGCGAACAGGAUUAGAUACCCUGGUAGUCCACGCCGUAAACGGUGGGAACUAGGUGUUGGCGACAUUCCACGUCGUCGGUGCCGCAGCUAACGCAUUAAGUUCCCCGCCUGGGGAGUACGGCCGCAAGGCUAAAACUCAAAGGAAAUUGACGGGGGCCCGCACAAGCAGCGGAGCAUGUGGCUUAAUUCGACGCAACGCGAAGAACCUUACCAAGGCUUGACAUACACCGGAAACGGCCAGAGAUGGUCGCCCCCUUGUGGUCGGUGUACAGGUGGUGCAUGGCUGUCGUCAGCUCGUGUCGUGAGAUGUUGGGUUAAGUCCCGCAACGAGCGCAACCCUUGUUCUGUGUUGCCAGCAUGCCCUUCGGGGUGAUGGGGACUCACAGGAGACUGCCGGGGUCAACUCGGAGGAAGGUGGGGACGACGUCAAGUCAUCAUGCCCCUUAUGUCUUGGGCUGCACACGUGCUACAAUGGCAGGUACAAUGAGCUGCGAAGCCGUGAGGCGGAGCGAAUCUCAAAAAGCCUGUCUCAGUUCGGAUUGGGGUCUGCAACUCGACCCCAUGAAGUCGGAGUUGCUAGUAAUCGCAGAUCAGCAUUGCUGCGGUGAAUA
rnacentral:rRNA from 1 species